GAACUCAGAAGGAGGAGGCUGGA
rnacentral:piRNA from 1 species